UUGUUGUGAGCAAAGGGCCCAGAUGGGGUGGCCACAGGGAAGCUCUGAAGGUUGCGUGUGUGUGGACGUGUUCGGUCUUUGCUCCAUCUGUAGGUUGCUUUGCAUGUUACCCCACCACCCGUUCCCAGCAGAAGACCACGCAGGACGGAAGCCACCUGCCUGAAGUGCAGCUCACACCAUGGUUGCUUUUGCCUGGCUAUCACAGAAAAACAGGAUAGAGAGAGAGUUCCCAAGACCUCGUCUGACCCAAUCCUGUCCUAAAAGAGACAACACGCUGAGCAUCUCUAGUAAAUCUUCAACCAGUGCUUCUACAUUGACCUCUGCUGUUGACAGAGGUUACCCACUCCCCCAAGCCACGCCUGGGUGGACCCGUAUGUACUCGGAGGAAAUUCCUUCCUGUCUGAUUUGAAUCGCCUCCACUGCUGCCUCAAGACCCUGCAGACAUGGAUUGCCCUUUACAUAGCUCAAGGCUUAGCUCUUCCCUAGGCUGCCGUCUAAAUUAAACAGUCUGAGUUCUCGCAGCCUCUCUCUGUGGGUCACAUUUCUCAGACCACCAGUCAUUUUCUGCACUUUCCUCUGGACUCCCCCCAGCUUCUUCUGGAGUUGGUGAAUAUCUCCGGGAUGACGUCGGCCUCAUUCAUUGCAAAAGCAUGACAUGGUGAGCUCAGAUUUGGCUGCUGGGUCACGAUGGCAGCCCCUGCCUCAGUCACUCCCCUCCCACUUAAAUUUGUGCUCAGGGCAGUUCUUGCACAAGCGCUUGUCUUCACAGCAUCCUGCUUCCUCUCGGCCCAUCUCUCUAAAUCCUCAUGCUGGCUUUGAUAAUGCUUCCAACCUGUCCACGCCACCUGCACACUUCAACAACAAACAUUUCCUUUCUGCUCCCAACAAGUUCCAGUUCAGGACGAGCACCUGCUGAACGCCUUUUCACUCCCAUCCAGUGCCACGUUUCUCUUUUCAGGCAGGUUUGACCCCAUCACCCUAGUGGCCCAUUUAGCCAGCACUUCUUCCCAGCAGCACUAAGCUAGGAAACAUGAAAAGCCCUUCUGAAGCUGAGUUACGUGACAACUGCUGCUUCUCCUGCACCCAAAAACCUGGCAUAAAAGGAAAUUAGGUUGGCUUGAUAAGAUUUGUUCUUGACAAAUCUCUGCUGGCUGUUAUUCAUCUCCUCGUUAUCUUCAAGGUACUUACAAAUAAUGUGUUGAUUUAUUCGAAGCUCCUCCAGGUACAGAAGCAGACAUAAUCUGGCUGAACUGCUGCUGAAGGCAGCUCUGGAGCUUGCCCGCAGAUCUCACCUCUCACCCAGGAAAACUUUCAAGGGGACAGCAAGCAGCUCUCCCCUGGGCAUCCCCCAACCAACACAAGGCUUAAUGUCAGUAUCCACACUCACUCUGGGGACAGGUCACUGGAGAGCUCGUGAGUCAGGAGUGAUAGCUUAUCCCCCUAGGUCCCAUCACACAUCCAGUCACUAAGGAGGAACAUAAAUUUCAACAAGCAGGCCUGAAGUGUGAAUGCAGAUCUCCUGAACUAAGCGAAUGCAAAGCCCUCUGCAGGCUCUGGUGCCAGGCGAGCCCUGCUCCCCACCUGCAUGAGCCAAAGACAUCUCAUCUCAGAUCUUCAUCAUUCCCAAUGAAACCAGUGCAUCUUGGAGCACAGCAUCUGCAGUCUCCAGGCACGUUUCUUGCCCUUAUCUCUCAUGUGCUCAGGGGGCAGGUGCUGGGGAGAAAAGGCAGGCGUAAACUGAAGGGCUGAGAGCAUCUGCACUGGGAGGACAUCCUCUGGAAAGGGCUUUGCUCUGAUCGCGGGGAUUCCAGUCCAUGCCCUGGUUCUUCAUCAGGGCUCUGUUUCCCACUGCCAGGCGCAUUUAAUUGUCGCUCGGAUUGUGUAGGAAGGCAUCCAGACACUAUGGAAAUGGAGCCAUAUAGGGACUGGACGGCGGAGGCACAUGCUGGUCACCCUCUCACUUGCACAGCAGUGGGAAUACUUUUUCCCUUACACUGGGAUAUUUUUAAAGCGGAGAAUGCCGUUAUUAUUUGUUGUCGCCCAGCAUCCAGCAUCGCCAUUCUUGGAAGCCAGCACAGUGCCACCGAUGUCAGUGUCAGAAGCGUUAUUAGCAGAUUUUUUGAUAUCUCCCCAGAUGCCUUCAGGCUCAGUGGUGUUUGACGUGGAGAGGGCUGACCUUCAGCUGCAACCAGUGCCCGUGACAAAACAGAGAGCACAUCCACCACUUCCAGCUGCAGAGAGACCUUCACCAACACCGUGGCAGUGAAAGACUAACCUUUAGUCAAAGCUCCUGCUUUUUGUUCUGUCAGUCUUGCUUUAAGCCCACAAAACUACUUCAGUGCCAUCAGCUGAGGUCAGGCCUGGAGGCAAGGUAUCAGGGGGAAGAAGGCCGAUUCCCAAGCACAACUUGAACUCAGAGCUUGUGUUGGGGUCCUGCACACUUUUUUGGGUUGCAUUUACCUUUCGUUGCUCGAGGACUCGCCAUGUGUGCACAGGAGGGAGAGGGAUGGGUCCCUGCUCUGUCUAUAAAACCUGCGUGCCACAGCUGGUGCAGUGCCACUGCCAGCAGCACUCAGGCAUGUACCAGAGAAGGAAAGGAGACUGCAGAGAGGGACGGGGCUUCUCCUGCCCCCUGCUCUCACCUCUCCAGCAAGGAGCUGAGGAGCUGUGCUGUUCUCCAGGAUAACUCUUUCCCACGCCAACAGGUUUUGGUAGGAUUGCUGCUUUAAUUUCUUAAACCAAGCCUAGAUCCUGCAUUUUAUAAAUUACUACAAUGCAUUUAAUAGGUAGCCUUUUCAUAAAGGAGCACAGUGGAUGUGUACGCAAGCCCUGAUGAAGCUAAUAACUGCCUCUCAAUGGCUUUCAGAGAGUUAUUACAUAUUUAAGAUCCAAGCUCCCUUAAUCAACCACAGAGAUGCAGCUGGCAGCGGUAAAUUGCCAACAACAGCUCAUUACAAAUAAGGAAACAUUGUUUUUUCAAGGACAAAAACCCUAUCAGUUCUACAGCUAACCACUCCUGUCCUCACCCCUCUUCCCCCAUGUCCCCCCAAGUGACGUGCUGGCACAACUUGCUUCAUCCAGUAACACAGCCUCGCUGCCUAAUCCCCUCCACAGGGGACGCCAUCAAAUCAAGUUCCUAGAUCUCAUGCACACGCAGAAUGACUUAUUUGGGCAAGCAGCACAGACUGCAUCCCGCGCUCACCCUCCCCAGGCAAGCCACAGGCAGGGCUUGUCCUACAAGGCUGCGAUGUCUUGCCGCAGGAGCACACCCACUGGCUUUACUCUGGGGAGGACCAGAUCAGCUCAUAAGACACAUAGACACACAGUUCUGAGAAUGUACAUUGCAGGCUUGAGACGUGGGAAUGUUUUUUUAUCAGCCCGUGCAUAUACACAUGGUGUCCACAUCACUCCAUGCCUGCAUGCACAGGACAAUAGCGAGUGCAAGCUGGGUCCAAACGUGGCCAUCCAGUGUGCAGGCUGGAGGCUCACCACUGCACGUGCAGUUUCCAAGCUCAGACCUUUAGUGGUUCUCCUGAGGCAUCUGAGAAACUGAAAUCCAGCACCCAGCCCUGUACAUCACAGGGUUUCAGCUGCAGGCAGCAUCUCCCUGUUCCUUGAGUCCCCAAGCAGCAUUUCUUUGUCCGUCCUCUCUGCGACGUGCAGUAGAGGAGUUGCUACCCUCAGGGAUUUUCCAUCCUCAGACCAGACCAGGCUUCCUGAUUGAUGAAGCUGUAGGUAGUGGUGGGCACUCACAU